UACGUAGGGGGCAAGCGUUGUCCGGAAUCAUUGGGCGUAAAGAGCGUGUAGGCGGCCAGAUAAGUCCGCUGUGAAAACUCGAGGCUCAACUUCGAGCUGUCGGCGGAAACUAUCUGGCUAGAGUCCGGAAGAGGAGAGUGGAAUUCCUGGUGUAGCGGUGAAAUGCGUAGAUAUCGAGAGGAACACCUGCGGCGAAGGCGGGUUGCUGGGCCGACACUGACGCUGAUGCGCGAAAGCCAGGGGAGCGAACGGG
rnacentral:rRNA from 1 species